rnacentral:lncRNA from 1 species
AAGCACAUAAGCAACUAUAUAUAUAUAUUCAAAGCUUCACUACCAUAAAAUCCACAGCAUGCAGAUGAAAAAGGAGAAGCAAGUACUUUUACCUAUCCAUCUAAACAUAAUAACUUUUAGCAACCAACAAAUCCAUCCAUUAUACCUAGAACCUAAACUUACAAAGCAGGGUGUACUUCGUACUCAAUGAUAAGGCAUUAGACUAAUUCACUUGCCCUCUACAUGCACAAUUUACAAAACAAACAAGUUGGUCCAGUUAUGUUAUGGCCAGAUUUGGCCCUGGUAAUCUUAUAGAAGGCGCGCCCUUUUCGGAGGUAAUUCCGAGGGCGCGGCCUCCUGGCAGGGGGGAGCAUGUCAGUGGAGUAUCUUGAAUAGCCAUGGGAAGAAGACCAAGGGCGCGCCCUUGGCGGGGUGAUCCCGUGGGCGCGGCCUUCGGAUAUUAGAAGACAUGUCUGACCUGUUGAGACGACUCAUGGGACAAGACAUCGAAGAUGAAGGGCGCGCCCUCAGGGGUCGCGCCCACAUGUGGACGCAUUGAAUGAGAGGGCGUACCCCUUGGAGGUGUAACCUCUAUGAGAGGGCGUAGCCCUCGGAAGGCUUGGCCUAUGUGAUAGGGCGCGGCCCUCGGAGGUGUGACCUCUUUGAGAGGGCGUACCCCUUGGAGGUGUAACCUCUAUGGGAGGUGUGACCUCUAUGAGAGGCUUGAACUCAAUGAGAGGGCGUAGCCUUUGGAGGUGUAACCUCUAUGAGAGGCUUGACCAUAUUUGGCCACAUUUGGUCACGUGAAUUGGGAGAGGGCGCGCCCUCCGCGGGUAAUCCGGGAGGCGCGGCCCUUUGUCUCAAGAGCACGAUGUCACGUGUCUGAAGUGUGAAGAGAAUGAGGAACAAGGAUCAAGGGCGCGCCCUCCGUGGUCGCGCCCACAGGUGAUGAAUAUGUGUGAGGUUGAGUGAGUCUCGACGACGACCCUUCCGAGGGAUACGAAGACCUACCCUUCCGAGGGAUAUGAAGACUAGUGCCAGAGCUCAUCUGGUAGUUAUCAGGCUCAUCUGGUAGUUCCCGGGUUACGUCCGGGCAUGAUCUAUAAUCCCCAGUCCUGCUAUCUGCCGGGUUGUCCUCGUGCGGGGGCCUGGGGUGAUCAUGGUUGUAGAAGGCCCUCAGGGGUAACACGAAGGCCGAUCAUAUGUCCGGGUCCUGUAUUCUGGUGAGUUAGUCCUCAUUGGGGGACUGGGACGAUCGUGUAACUUGGCUCCUCAUUGGCCUUACCUCUUAGUGAGAACCUUCACUAGGGGGUAAGGGCGCGUCCCUACACCACAAGGAAUUGGUCACGGCUCUACCAGACGUCUCCUCCAUGCUACGAAAAGUAGCGGUUAGUGUCAUCUCUCGUAGUGGAGAUGAUGCCGUAUCCGUGAUGUACUUGGACUAGGAGUCUGAGGUAGUUGGCCUCAAGGCUUAAUUCUAACUGGAGUAGGACUCUGAAGGCGUUGGACGUCUAAGAGAUAAGUCACCACCUCAGGGUUGGUCUUAUCCCCAAGAGGCCUAGUCCUGAUCAAACUAGGAGUCCUGGUUCAAUAGAACUACGUAUGGCUUGAUCCCCUAUAAAUAUAGGGGUACGUAGGCACAUUGGGGGAUCAUGAGUUGAGAGCACGUGAGACCAACUCAAAACCCUAAUCUCAGCCACCCCCUAAAACAAACAACCACCACUCUCCGGCGACCAAAACCACCGUCACGGAUCUUGAUUCCGGCCAUGAACCUCAUCUUUGUUGAUUACCAAAUUCCUCUAUCAACAAAUUGGCGCUAGAAGGAGGGGCUAUUCAAGAUCUUCAUCUUAGGAGGAAGAGAUGUCACACGACGGAGAUUCGCACGUAGAGGAGGAGCGUUUUCCGGCAGGGCGAUGGCUAGAGCACAAAAGAGGAGGAGACCUUCAUCUACUUUUUCAGGAAAAGGACGAUAUCUCCAUCGGGAGUUUGAAGGAGGACGAUCAUCAACGAAAUUCUAGGAGGUAACCUAAUUUGCGAUCAGGGUUUUCUGGACCGGGGAGUCAGCGAAGGAUGUGAUUUUCGGAGACCUGACACCUACGAAGAGGGUACGCCUCCCCCGGACAGAAGAACCUAGGUGGAGGGAGUAUGGACUUUUCCAAGCUUAUACGGUGGGUUGGAAGUCGAGAAAUGAAGCGAAAAGAAAGAAAAUCACGAGCGCCCUAGAGCGCCCUGGUAGCGCCCGGGGUCUGCCCAUGUGGAGCGCCCGCGCCCUGGAGCGGCGCGCCCGCGCCCUGGGUGCGCCCUGGUAGCGCGCCCGCGCUACCCCGAUUGUGGAAAGUUUCGUUUUUUAGGUCCGUUUGGAUUAGCUGCUGGCCCGGUCAACUUAGGGCACUUAAAUAUGAAUUAAAGGAAGAAAAAGCCCUAAACACCUCCCCCGGAUAGAGUACACCUCCCCUGGACAGGGUACACCUCCCCCUGACAGGGUACGCCUCCAAGUGAUGUGGUGCUCAAUUACCACCGUGAGGAACGAAUUCCCUAACACCUUCGAAGAAGGCGCACCUCCGGGUAAUACGGUGUUACCUUUAUGAGGAGUACACCUCUUUGCCGUGAGGAGUAGUCGCAUUUUCCUCCAACAAGACAAACAUACUCAGGAAGGAGCUCACUAGUCUUGAAGAGGUCACGUCCCUCCCUAGGGCGCGCCCUCUCGGAAGUACUCAUCACUUGAGGAAGCGCAUAAGGGCGCGCCCCCAGGAUAAUAAGGUUGAGAAGGGAGAUGCUUCAAAGACGCGCCUCCUUCUAGUUGGACGCACCCCGAGUUCCAAAGUCAUGUUUCCAGGGUUGAUAAUUCGGGAGGACACGCCUUCCCCCUAACAGGGCACGUCAUGAGGUAACACUGACCGCCAUUAUUAAGUGGUAUACAUGAUUGAGUGCAGGUCAAGUCCGACAUGCUAAAGGAGCUGUCCAUCUUGAUGAGAGCGCGUCCUCCGUUCAUCAUGAACGUAGCAUGAUACCUACAAGGUCUUUGACCAUGAUACACUUAAGGCCUUUCAAAAGUUGCCUAAUUAUCAAUGACCAGCUCUGGGUGCUAUGAAUUUUAACCAUCCAUGAUACGCUCUGGGCACUAUAUUUGCGCGCUCUGGAUCUUACAUAUCCAUGAUAUGCUCUGGGUAACGCUUUAUACUAUUGAUUCCCCAUUAAGCUAUGAGCUCUGGGACCCGUGCGAUGCACCGGAGUUAUAUAAACCACGAUAAGAUUCGUGAUGCCCCAUAGUGGGAUGAUGUAUGGACGUGGGGAGUGGUCCUUUUGUAUUUUCUUAAGCAAGUGAUUCACGCGUAGAAAAAGUAAGGCUGCGACCAAAGGCCGCGCCCUCUGCUUAAUCCUUAGGAAAAGAUACAAAAGACGCCCACAUUACCAGUAAGGCUGCGCCGUAGGCUGCCGAGGGGUCGCGCCCACAUGUGGACGCAUUGAAUGAGAGGGCGUACCCCUUGGAGGUGUAACCUCUAUGAGAGGGCGUAGCCCUCGGAAGGCUUGGCCUAUGUGAUAGGGCGCGGCCCUCGGAGGUGUGACCUCUUUGAGAGGGCGUACCCCUUGGAGGUGUAACCUCUAUGGGAGGUGUGACCUCUAUGAGAGGCUUGAACUCAAUGAGAGGGCGUAGCCUUUGGAGGUGUAACCUCUAUGAGAGGCUUGACCAUAUUUGGCCACAUUUGGCCACGUGAAUUGGGAGAGGGCGCGCCCUCCGCGGGUAAUCCGGGAGGCGCGGCCCUUUGUCUCAAGAGCACGAUGUCACGUGUCUGAAGUGUGAAGAGAAUGAGGAACAAGGGUCAAGGGCGCGCCCUCCGUGGUCGCGCCCACAGGUGAUGAAUAUGUGUGAGGUUGAGUGAGUCUCGAUGACGACCCUUCCGAGGGAUACGAAGACUUACCCUUCCGAGGGAUAUGAAGACUAGUGCCAGAGCUCAUCUGGUAGUUAUCAGGCUCAUCUGGUAGUUCCCGGGUUACGUCCGGGCGUGAUCUAUAAUCCCCAGUCCUGCUAUCUGCCGGGUUGUCCUCGUGCGGGGGCCUGGGGUGAUCAUGGUUGUAGAAGGCCCUCAGGGGUAACACGAAGGCCGAUCAUAUGUCCGGGUCCUGUAUUCUGGUGAGUUAGUCCUCAUUGGGGGACUGGGACGAUCGUGUAACUUGGCUCCUCAAUUGUCUUAUCUCUUAGUGAGAACCUUCACUAGGGGGUAAGGACGCGUCCCUACGCCUCAUGGAAGUGGUCACGACUCUGUCCGAUGUCUCCUCCAUGUUACGAAGAGUAGCGGUUAGUGUCACCUCUCGUAGUGGAGAUGAUGCCGUAUCCGUGAUGUACUUGGACUAGGAUUCUAAGGUAGUUGUCUCAAGGCUUACUUCUAACUGGAGUAGAACUCUAAGUGAUAAGUCUCCGACCCACGGUUGGUCUUAUCCCCAAGAGGCCUAGUCCUGAUCAAACUAGGAGUCUUGGUUCUAUAGAACUACGUACGGCUUGAUCCCCUAUAUAAAGGGGUACGUAGGCACAUCAAGGGGAUAUAUCGAGAGUUGUGAGAACGAGAGCAGAAAUAUAUUCCCUUGAUCUCAGCCACCCUCAAACAAACAACCACCACUCUCCGGCGACCAAAACCACCGUCACGGAUCUUGAUUCCGGCCAUGAACCUCAUCUUUGUUGAUUACCAAAUUCCUCUAUCAACAAGUUAUAAACACAUUUGCCACAAUUCUGCCCGACUCUUCCUUUCCCUUAAAUGACCCUGCAAAAGAUUGCCAAUGUCAGUCUAAUAAGCACUUGAUAACAUUUGUGAACUGUAGCAAAGUUCUUUAGAGAACCAUAUUUCACCUAGGCAUUGCAUUAUAUUACUAAAAGAUGAAACAUAAAUAAUUGUGGCUCUUUCAUUGGCAGAAAUAGCGGCUUCUUUAAGUAGAAGUCCAGUUGAGAAGCUCAAUCACCGUAUGGGAAAAAAAGCAUACCACUCUUUAUGGGUUUUAGAAACCAGAAUUGAGAAGCUUGAAGUUGUAGCUUUUUUUCUUAUGCUUCUCACCUUUUUGACCUGCUGUUCUGCAUUAAUAUGCCCACACUCUCUUUCUGUUUAUUUUAUCCAGCUUUAACUUGUUAUUCUAAUUGCUUUAGUUUUAGUUUCAUUAGUUGGAAAACGAUAAAUGUAUUGCACUAGCAAGAAACAGUAUCAUGUGAAUUGUGUCUCUGGCCCCUGUUGGUUCUUAUGUAAUUGCAUUUUAAGCGAGUUUCUUAGCAAGUUUAUCUAUUAUCAAUCCAAAUUCUUUUAAAAAUAAUAUUAUAAUGUACCAAACACUGCACGAACUUAUAAGUCAAAUUAUCCAAACAAUAAAAGAAACUUAUAAGUUCAAGUAACCAAACACUUAAAUUAAUGUAUGACAAAUUAACAAUGAGAUGAGAAUAGUAUUAUUAUUGUUAUACACACGCACUAACAAAAUCUCCUUUACAAGUCCUAAACAAUGAGUAGAAUACAAUACAAGAUGAAAAUCUUACAAAUAUUCCUCUAUUGGAUAAAUUGAAUUUCCUUUUCUUAGUUAGACUAGCUGGUAAAAGCAAAAAUAUAAUAACAAUAAUCAAAAAAAUUCUGCAAGAUAACGGUAACAUGGUAGAUCCACAAAAAAACCAGGGUGAUGGAUCCAUACAUCACACGUACUAGAGUGUCUGAUAUACUAUAAAUGCCGAUAUCACAGAGGAUACUAAAUCUUCAACAUUUUUCCUGUUUUAGGAUUUAGAACACAAUGAGAAUAUAUUGGGAUGACAGUAUUAUGUUUAUAAUUACUGCAGGGCCUGAUAAAGGAACAAUGUAUGUAAGUUAACACAUUAGAAUGGGAGCACAGAUAUCACUGAGACAAUGACAUUGAUGAAAGUUCUGAUUUAUAUUACAGGGGGGAAAGUAUUCUAGUGACAAGCACAUUGUAACGGACAAGUCAAAGUGUCCAAGCUACACGCAAUCUAGCUAAGAUAUUGAAAUGAAAGAUGCCAAGGGGAUCAAGCAUUGAAUCCUAAUAACGCAAACAGGGUAGGAGCAUAUUAACAAUGUUUGUCGAAAAUAUUGAGUAAACACAAGGCAACCAUCUGUGAUUCUAUUUUUAAGUAUGCUAAUAAUCAGAUACUCAAAAACUACUAUUAAUAACUAAGACUAGAGAGCAAAGAGGGUGUUGAUAUAUGUCUAAGAAGUUGGAAAGUGCCUAUAUACUGCAACUAGUCUGCAAGUAAUGGUAAUAACUAUAUAUGUAAGUACGUCGUCCAUCAACUCUAACUUGAUCCACAAACUUAAGUUAGCCAAGUGAGAUUACAGGAGCAGAGAUAUCACUUAUCCAAACAAUGUAUGUAAGUUCACUUGUUUAAAUAAUUAGAGUGAAUUAGGAAGUAUAUAUACAAUGAAACUACACUUGCCAAAAAAAAUAAACUCGAAAAAUAAACAAACAAUAAUUCUACGAAAUGGAGCAUUCUUACACAAUAUUAGAGUUACUUACGACUUCAUUCUUGUGAUUGAAACCCCUCAAGGGAAACAAGGCUCUGAGUGAACUUGGCAACUGACUUGACAUCGGUGAGAUGAGCUGGGAAAGGAAGCUUCUUAGUCGUUUUCUUUGUGUAGUUGUAAAAUUUGUAUCCAAAAACAAAAUUGAGUCCAAGAAAGUGUUGAGCGCCCAAAUAAAGAUACGUCCGAUCCAACUCCAAAUCCAUUUCAAGAUUGAACUUUUUAAUCCACAAGCCAUCAUCAUCUAACAUCCAAAGACUCAUAACUGAUUCAUCCCCAGCAGAUUCAUAUACCAUAGCCACAGAACCUUCAAAAUCCAAAAUCUUAGACUUCUUUAUCCUUUUCUGUUCCACGUAAUCAGGAAACGGUAACACCACAAUUUCUCCAAACAAAUCAUUCCGCAAAUCAAACGGCAAUAGCUCACCCUCCCCUUCCAUGUACAACUUCCCACUAAUAUCAGGACCACAGAAUCUCUUCAGCUUAUGCCAAAAAGACAUUUUAAUAGUAUCCGGAGUACGAAUCAUUUUCCAGGUAUCAGCAUUUGCGGAAUACAACUGUGCUUCUGAGAAGUUACCCAUGUUAAUAAUAGAACCCCAUGUGUUACGGACAACCUUUGUUACAAUCCUAAGAAUCUUGUAGUCAUUUCCAACAGAAUCAAACCCAAACCCUAGACAAACCCCGACUUGAUUGAUUUCAUAGUUGGGGGCAUAAAGCAUCUUAUACUGUCUAGUACAUGGAUUCCAAAUACAAAUAUCAUAGCUACUUUCAUUGGAAAGACAAACAAGACCAUUACAAGAACGCAUGUAAUAAACCAUACCCUCAAGACGUGAUGGCAAUUUAAGCUCAACUGAUUCUUCAACAGUGUCCAUGGAGAAAACCCUCCAAUAAUAAGAGGCUUUGAGCACGGAUGCUUGUUUGUUCCUGGAAUUGGCAAGGUGGGCUUCAACAAACUGUGGGCUUGUUAUGAUGGACAGCCAGGUUUUGCAGACUGAUUUGAAGCGGAGAAGUGAUAUUACAGGAAGAUGGGAAAGUAUGAGAAAAACCAUCUCUUCGGAGAAAUAAUUAGUCGCCAUUGAGCCCUAGGAUGUUGUGUGUAUUAUAUAACAUUCAAAUGUGCAUCAGAAAGAUAAACAAGACCAUUACAAGAAUGAAAAUAACGAACCAUACUCUUACAGCAUGAUGACAAUUUGAACACUAUUAACGGCCGGUGUACUUAUUUUCUCUUGGAAUUAAGGUGGACUUCAACAAACUGAGGGUUUGUUAUAUAUAAAGAAUAGAUAGGUUUUACAAACUCAAAGCUGAAGGUGAUAUCACAAGAAGAUAUGAAUGUCGAAUAUUAUUUCUUCACAUAAAUAAUAGAUAGAUCUUUUACUCCUUAUUCAGCUGUAAUGAUGAUGAUAAAGUUGCGUUUUAGGGUUCCCGUUAUCGAACCCUAAUAUAUAUAUCCGUUGUAUUUAUUCUUACAAAUUCUGUAAAUUAUUUUAAGCUUUCUUUUCAAAAGGUUUAUCAAAGAGUUUAAAAUUAUUAAGAAAAUUAUAUACAAAAAUUUCAACCUAUUUUACAACAAAGCAGGGUGUACUUCGUAGACUCAAUGACAAGGCAUUAGACUAACCCCCUUGUGCUCUCUACAUUACACAAAUUUACGAAACAAACAAGCUGGUCCUAUUAUAAACACAUUUGCAGCAAUUAUGCUGGACUCUUCCUUUCCCAGAUAUGACCCUGCAAAAGAUUACAAGAAUGUCAGUCUAAGAAUAUCUGAUAACAUUUGGAAAAAAUGAACUCGAAAAGAAAACAAACGAUAAUUCUAUGGAAUUGAGCAUUCUUUCUUUCACAAUAUCAAAGUUACUUACCACUUCACGCUUGUGAUUCAAACCCCUCAAGAGAGACAAGGCUCUCAGUGAACUUGGCAACCGACUUGACAUCGGUGAGAUGAGCGGGGAAAGGAAGCUUCUUAGUGGUUUUCUUCUUGUAGUUGUAAAAUUUGUAUCCAAAAAUAAAAUUAAGUCCAAGAAAGUGUUGGGCGCCCAAAUAAAGAUACAUCCGAUCCAACUCUAAAUCCGUUUCAAGAUUGAACUUUUUAAUCCACAAGCCAGCAUCAUCUAACAUCCAAAGACUAAGGACUGAUUCAUCCCCAGCUGCAGAUUCAUAUACCAUAGCCAGAGAACCUUCAAAAUCCAAAAUUUUGGACUUCUUUAUCCUUUUCUGUUCCACGUUAUAAUCAAGAAACGGUAAUACUACAAGUUCUCCAAACACAUCGUUGCGCAAAUCAAACGGCAAUAGCCCACCGUCACCUUCCAAAUACAACUUCCCACUAAUAUCAGGACCACAGGAUCUCUUCAGCCUAUUCCAAAAAGAUAUUCUAAUAGUAUCCGGAAUACGAAUCUUUUUCCAAGUAUCAGCCUUUGCGGAAUACAACUGUGCUUCUGGUUUAAGAUUCAUGCUAACAAUAAAACCUCGUAAGUCACGGACAACCUUUGUUACAAUCCAAAGAAUCUUGUAGUCGUUUCCAAUAGAAUCAAAACCAAACCCUAGACAAUGCCUUACACCAAAUGCAUAGUUGGGCACAGAAAGCAUCUUAUACUGUCUAGUACACGGAUUCCAAAUACAUAUACUAUCAUAACAAUCAUUAGAAAGACAAACAAGACCAUUACAAGAACGCAUGUAACGAACCUUACCCUCCCAAUGUGAUGGCAGUUUAAGCUCAACUGAAUCUUCCACAGUGUCCAUGGAGAGAACCCUCCAAUCAUAAGAGGCUUUGAGCACAGAUGCUUGUUUCUUCUAGGAAUUAGCCAGCUGGGCUUUAACAAACUGUGGGCUUUCUAUGAUAGAUAGCCAGGUUUUGCACACAGAUUUGCAGCGUAGAAGUGAUAUUACAGGAAGAUAGGAAAGUAUGAGGAACACCAUCUCUUCGGAUAAAUAAUUAUUACAUCUUUUAGUGGCCAUUGAGCACAAGAAAUGAUUAUGAGAAUAAUAAAGUUGCGUUUUGGUGUUCAGAUAGAGGUGGUAAGAAGAGGGGUGCGAGACUAGGCAUUCUGAACCCUAUUAUAUAUAUACCCGCUGUACCCUACACAGCGAACAGACGCCUCCCUCUAUUUCUUCACUUCGCGACUCUUCGCGUAAAUUCUUUUUCUUUAUCAGGGAAAACGUCAUCAAUCUGCCUAAACAAAUCUGCGGGAAUAAUAAUUUUUGCCAUAACAAGAAUUUAUUUCUAAAAAAGUUUUAAAUUACUAAUUCUGCCGGUUAAAUAUUCUUUUUCAAAUUUUCUUUUUAUGAAUUAAAAUAUUAUACUUAUAAUUUUAUUCACAAAAGUAAAAAUUUCAAAUAGGUGAUUAAAUUACUUAAAAGUACAUGAAAAAAAGUUAGGAGACUAACAUACCCACAAAAAGAAUAAUUAAUAUUUGGUCACAUUUCUUUGAUUAGAUAUAUUUUUUGAAAAUGUGAAAUAAUUAGAGCAUGUAUCAAUUCAUAGUAGAAUAUCUUAAUGGUAUUUGAUAAAAUAAUGAAGUCUUAAAUAUAAAAACAAUUUUUACAUUAAUUUCUUGAAAUAAUUAAGUAAAGUAUUAUGUUUAUUAUAAUUCCUGAAAAUUUAAUAUUAAUGUUAUUGAUAUCGAGUAAGCAUUAUUCUGAUUGGACAAUUUUUUUUUAAAAAAAAUCAGUUCAAGGAUCAAUUCAAAAAAACAUAUGUUAUUUUACCAUCAUAACUUGUUUUAAGAUUAUAAACAAUAAGAUAAUUAAUUCUUUUAGAGUGUAAAAGAAUUGGGGCGUACCUUCAAAAAUAAAAAUCUCCUGCAAAUUCCUUUCAAAAAUAUGUUUUUAGAUCAAUUGAACUUUAAAAAUUACAAUUUAAAACUUCUCCGAUCUAAUAUGCAACUCCAUUUUUAUUAUAUUUUUCUCAAUUGAUUUGAGAAGUAAUUCCCUUUUGUAAAUCGUAACUUUCAAAAAUGAAACUUAAAAACAGAAAUUUGAAUAUAUAUUUCAGAAAACCAUUUUUUCGAAACCAAGUUAAAAGUGUAGGGUGUUUCUUUAUAAUUUCCCUAAAUAAUACUGUCAAACAAGCCCGAAAUCCGUUUGCUUGCUUUGGAUAGCAUUUUCAAGUCAAAUAAUUAAACGAAUGGGAAAAGUCAUAUCUAGAAGCACAUAAGCAACUAUAUAUAUUCAAGCUUCACUACCAUAAAAUCCACAGCAUGCAGAUGAAAAAGGAGAAGCAACUUUUACCUAUCCGUCUAAACAUAAUAAUUUUUAGCAACCAACAAAUCCAUCCAUUAUACCUAGAACCUAAACUUACAAAGCAGGGUGUACUUGGUACUCAAUGACAAGGCAUUAGACUAAAUUCACUUGUGCCAUCUACAUGCACAAUUUACAAAACAAACAAGCUGGUCCAGUUAUAAACACAUUUGCCACAAUUCUGCCCGACUCUUCCUUUCCCUUAAAUGACC